UACGGAGGGAGCUAGCGUUGUUCGGAAUUACUGGGCGUAAAGAGCGCGUAGGCGGUCUGUAAAGUUAGAAGUGAAAGCCCAAGGCUUAACCUUGGAACUGCUUUUAAAAACUCACAGACUAGAGAUUGGUAGAGGAUGGUGGAAUUCCUAGUGUAGAGGUGAAAUUCGUAGAUAUUAGGAGGAACACCGGUGGCGAAGGCGGCCAUCUGGGCCAAUACUGACGCUGAGGCGCGAAAGCGUGGGGAGCAAACAGGG
rnacentral:rRNA from 1 species